GUGCCAGCAGCCGCGGUAAUACGUAGGGUGCGAGCGUUGUCCGGAUUUAUUGGGCGUAAAGGGCUCGUAGGUGGUUGAUCGCGUCGGAAGUGUAAUCUUGGGGCUUAACCCUGAGCGUGCUUUCGAUACGGGUUGACUUGAGGAAGGUAGGGGAGAAUGGAAUUCCUGGUGGAGCGGUGGAAUGCGCAGAUAUCAGGAGGAACACCAGUGGCGAAGGCGGUUCUCUGGGCCUUUCCUGACGCUGAGGAGCGAAAGCGUGGGGAGCGAACAGGCUUAGAUACCCUGGUAGUCCACGCUGUAAACGGUGGGUACUAGGUGUGGGGUCCAUUCCACGGGUUCCGUGCCGUAGCUAACGCUUUAAGUACCCCGCCUGGGGAGUACGGCCGCAAGGCUAAAACUCAAAGGAAUUGACGGGGCCCCGCACAAGCGGCGGAGCAUGCGGAUUAAUUCGAUGCAACGCGAAGAACCUUACCAGG
rnacentral:rRNA from 1 species